UACGUAGGGGGCUAGCGUUGCUCGGAAUCACUGGGCGUAAAGAGCUCGUAGGCGGCUUGUUGAGUCAUGGGUGAAAUCCUGGAGCUCAACUCCAGAACUGCCUUUGAUACUGAGGAGCUUGAGUCCGGGAGAGGUGAGUGGAACUGCGAGUGUAGAGGUGAAAUUCGUAGAUAUUCGCAAGAACACCAGUGGCGAAGGCGGCUCACUGGCCCGGAACUGACGCUGAGGUGCGAAAGCGUGGGGAGCAAACAGG
rnacentral:rRNA from 1 species